UGUCGUGGUGCCCAGGAGGAGCGUGGUGGCGGCCGGCGGUGGAGGACCGGUUACACGACCAAGCAGGGUCUCUACCCAAACCCGGACAUCCGCAUCCAGAAGAUGUGUUGCGUUGAGGCCGAUCUCGGCCUGCCAACCCGGCCUCCGGCAGCCCUUGCAAUACCAGUCAGAGCGGGCCACUUUCUGUUCACUCAGAUGGCUGACAUUAACUCCACAAUCAGGUAGUAAAUCUUCCAUGUAUUAUGCUCUCAAAUUGUUCGAUGAAAUGAGCCACUACUUGCGGCAUUCUGUUGCCAUUACGAUUCAGUCUGAUGAUUGUGUCAGCGUCAAUUUUUAUAUAUCUUUGUAUGCAAUCUCUUAUACAGAAUACACAAAUCAGUGCAUCUAAAUUGAAUUUCUCCUCGCUGCGAAAGGACGUUAUAAGAUGGUAAUUUAAUUUUCUUAAUCAAUUAGUAACAUUGACAGUGUUCUUCUGUUUGACAGCAAAGCUUCGUUGACCAUGCUGGUUCUGAGAGGGUGAAAAAGUCUGGUUCAGCAGGAGAAUAAUUAAAACAAGCACAAAGCAUCAAUAACUCUGUUCCUGAACUUCAUGGCGUUAUUGGUGAUUUAUCUUCUGAUGCACAGAAUUUACCUUACCGCAAUCAUAAGUUACAAUGCUUACGAGUGUUUCGCUUGGAGGUAAUGCACAAACCUUAAUGUUUGUGAAUGUCUCACGAGCAGAGUCAAACUUGGAGGAGACAUACAACUCACUUGUGUAUGGAAUUUCAUUGCCUUUUAUUCAGUCUUUGCAUUUGUCUACAUAACCAUAUCUCUUUACUCCACCCUAAUUUUUUUUCUCGAAAAAGUUUUGACUGCUUUUUAUGUGUGCCAUCUCUACUAUAUUAAAUGGCUAGAGGUGGUAGGAUGGUUGGUACGUCCGUCCCACCCCGGCCAUCGCUGCAUGUUUUUUCGUCCGUGCAAUGUUAGACCAUCCGGGAGAACCUGCGGCAAGGAACUGCCUCUUCGUUUCUCACCGAGAAAAGAUGCGCCAACACAUGCUACUGUUGUUCUCUGCUUGCAUCUUGCCAGGCUGCAGUUGGUGGUGUAAAGGUGGCUUCUGAUCGUUUGGUUGAAUGUAAAUUUGUUACUCCAAACAGGUACUGAUGAACAUAAUUUUCGUGAAGCUGAGCAACGCCAAUGUCACCGGCUCUCAACCGCAAACAACUGACACUCACGGAUCGUCGACUGACCACUCUGUGGAAUCCAUGCUGCACAGCGCAAGUACCCUCAGCGCUAGCAUACUUCUCAUACCUACACUUUCUUUCCCAUCAUAUCUGAGUCGCUUUUAAGGUCUCCUGAAGAACUAACAUGGCAAACAAUGGCAUCAUUCAAGCCCGGCCACAGGAGAGGCAAGACCAAGAGGGAGGGGUCUAGAGGCUCUAGCGUGUAGGUGCCAUUGGCGAUAGUAUAGCACUGUGCCGUUUAAUGGUACUAUAAAAUCAUAACAGAUUCAAUUAUCAUCUGUAAAUAAAUUGUUAUUUAAAUAGGCAAUUGUUGUUUUAUAAUAUAUACGUACAUUUGAAACAAUAUUGAGGUGCACUCCCCCGUACACAUCAAUGUACUACGCAGAUGUAGGUAGGCUGUGACAAUAUAAGAUGUGUUCAUGGAUAGACGGCUACUCUAGAGAUAGAAGGUUACAGUAUGAAAGUUUAAUUCUUUUGCUGCAUGAAAACUUGUAUACUUAUUAUGUAUAG